GACGAACGCUGGCGGCGUGCUUAACACAUGCAAGUCGAACGGAAAGGCCCUGCUUUUGUGGGGUGCUCGAGUGGCGAACGGGUGAGUAACACGUGAGUAACCUGCCCUUGACUUUGGGAUAACUUCAGGAAACUGGGGCUAAUACCGGAUAGGAGCUCCUGCUGCAUGGUGGGGGUUGGAAAGGUUCGGCGGUUGGGGAUGGACUCGCGGCUUAUCAGCUUGUUGGUGGGGUAGUGGCUUACCAAGGCUUUGACGGGUAGCCGGCCUGAGAGGGUGGCCGGCCACAUUGGGACUGAGAUACGGCCCAGACUCCUACGGGAGGCAGCAGUGGGGAAUAUUGCACAAUGGGCGGAAGCCUGAUGCAGCAACGCCGCGUGCGGGAUGACGGCCUUCGGGUUGUAAACCGCUUUCGCCUGUGACGAAGCGUGAGUGACGGUAAUGGGUAAAGAAGCACCGGCUAACUACGUG
rnacentral:rRNA from 1 species